GACGAACGCUGGCGGCGUGCUUAACACAUGCAAGUCGAACGGAAAGGCCCUGCUUUUGUGGGGUGCUCGAGUGGCGAACGGGUGAGUAACACGUGAGUAACCUGCCCUUGACUUUGGGAUAACUUCAGGAAACUGGGGCUAAUACCGGAUAGGAGCUCCUGCUGCAUGGUGGGGGUUGGAAAGUUUCGGCGGUUGGGGAUGGACUCGCGGCUUAUCAGCUUGUUGGUGGGGUAGUGGCUUACCAAGGCUUUGACGGGUAGCCGGCCUGAGAGGGUGACCGGCCACAUUGGGACUGAGAUACGGCCCAGACUCCUACGGGAGGCAGCAGUGGGGAAUAUUGCACAAUGGGCGGAAGCCAGAUGCAGCAACGCCGCGUGCGGGAUGACGGCCUUCGGGUUGUAAACCGCUUUCGCCUGUGACGAAGAGUGAGUGACGGUAAUGGGUAAAGAAGCACCGGCUAACUACGUG
rnacentral:rRNA from 1 species